rnacentral:rRNA from 1 species
CACGUAGGGUGCGAGCGUUGUCCGGAAUUAUUGGGCGUAAAGAGCUCGUAGGCGGUGUGUCGCGUCGGCCGUGAAAACCUGCAGCUUAACUGUGGGCGUGCGGGCGAUACGGGGCAGACUUGAGUACUGCAGGGGGAGACUGGAAUUCCUGGUGUAGCGGUGGAAUGCGCAGAUAUCAGGAGGAACACCGGUGGCGAAGGCGGGGUCUCUGGGCAGUAACUGACGCUGAGGAGCGAAAGCGUGGGGGAGCGAACAGG